rnacentral:lncRNA from 10 species
GGAAAGCCCGCCCGAGGCGCCGGUGCUGACGGUGGCGGGGCUGCCGGGCACGCUGUGGAACUGCCUCCCGCUAGAGCUGCGGGCUGGCGACGGUCCCGUGGGGGCGGGAAGCGGCUCAGGGUGCCCUCGCCGGCCUGCGGCGGCGCGUCUGGGAGCGCAGGCCACUCGUGCGCGGGUCACUCGGGGCUGUGCCUCGCGCGACUGUGUGUGCAGGAAACAAGGAGGAAAUACCCUAAAAUGGAAUGAAGCGCCAUGUUGAGGGCCGCGGAUGUCGCGAGUGCUGUGGGAAUGUGGGCUGAGGUGGAGAGUUAUGGUGGAGGAAGCUAGUCCUGUCUGAUGGAGGAAACAGGGCAGAGGCGUGGAGGGAGACGCACAGUGCUGGUGUGAGGAGCCGCGAGCAGGCCAGGCCUGUAAAGCAGCGUGAUGGGAACCAGGAUAGAGAAGGCAAGUCGGGGUCCUGUGGUCGCUGAAGAAUUUGAAUGAAAUCAGUAAACAGGUGAGAGGGAUCCAUCGCAAGAGCAUGGGAUGAAACGAGCAGUAGUCCACGGUGAUUCCUCUGCAGCGGCUGUACGGGAAGCAUGGUGACGGCAUCUGCCUGGCGCCUGUGGAGUCUCCAGGGAGCUUUUACUC